rnacentral:rRNA from 1 species
UACAGAGGUCCCAAGCGUUGCUCGGAUUCACUGGGCGUAAAGGGUGCGUAGGCGGUCGGGUAAGUCUGAUGUGAAAUCUCACAGCUUAACUGUGAAACUGCAUUGGAUACUAUCCGGCUAGAGGAAUGGAGGGGAGACUGGAAUACUUGGUGUAGCAGUGAAAUGCGUAGAUAUCAAGUGGAACACCAGUGGCGAAGGCGAGUCUCUGGACAUUUCCUGACGCUGAGGCACGAAAGCCAGGGGAGCAAACGGG